rnacentral:rRNA from 1 species
UACGUAGGGGGCCAGCGUUGUCCGGAAUCAUUGGGCGUAAAGCGCGCGUAGGCGGUCAGGUAAGUCCGGUGUGAAAGUCAAAGGCUCAACCUUUGAAUGCCGCUGGAUACUGCUUGACUUGAGUCCGGAAGGGGCGAGUGAAAUUCCUGGUGUAGCGGUGAAAUGCGCAGAUAUCAGGAGGAACACCAAUGGCGAAGGCAGCUCGCUGGAACGGUACUGACGCUGAGGCGCGAAAGCGUGGGGAGCGAACAGG